GUAGUUUCCCAUCAUGCCACUUUGGGAAGCUGUAUGGUCUGAUCAUGGCUCUGUCUGCAGUGUUUUCUAUCCUGCAGUAUCCAUGCUUUGCCCUGGUGAAUGGACCUCUGGAUGGAAACCCUUUAUAUGUGAACAUUGCUCUGACGCUGCUCAGCCUGGUCACCUUCAUCCAUCCCCUCUCUGUCUUCCUGCACUGUCGAAGUCUCGCCUCCCAGCGAGCCAUCAGUACCUCCUCUUAAAGUCUGUCAAAUGGGACUUGCAGUUAAAAUGUCUUUAAUAUCACCAGUGUCACUGUUACCUCUUCAGUUUGUUUGAUUUAUUAAUAGUGCUCAUAUGUCUGUGUUGUGUUGCCGUAUGUAUCAUCAAGCGCUGGUAAAUACAUUUCGGACUGUAGUGAAGUGUGGUUUCAGCUGCUGUCAUAGAGCAUUCCCCACACUCUCGGUUCAUAUUCACAGCCAAAUUGAAUUUUUCCAUCAUAAUUAAGAUCUUCUGGUGUGCAGUCUGCUGCUGUCGUAAGGUUACAUAACACUUUACCUCUUUUUUGAAAUUUCCACGAUACUUCAUUUUUCUUUUCACUGAUGCAUUGAUCAACUUAUUUUACAGCCUUCUACAGCUGGCUGCUUUACACAACAGUGACAUAUCCAAUGUUCCUUGUUUUAUGCAGUCUUAUAAUUUAACAUAUACUCUUGUAUUAUUUUAUUCUGUGUAAUACUAGCCACCUAUAACACCAUGGUUGGAUUCAGAGUGCCACACUCUUCAGCACUUUGUGCUGAAGAUGUUACAGAUAACACCUAUGUCAGUGUUGACCUAAGUUACCUCUAUAUCCUUUUUUUUUUUUGUUUUUUACCGUAACAGUAGAGUAUAGGACCAAUACGUUUUGUAGGAAAAGGCUAAAUGUAGUAGAAGUGUAGGUGACGAUUGUGAGUGAUAAUCACUGAUAUCAGGUAGAUGACACAGCUCUGCCAUCUGCUGGCCUCUCAGUUAAUAGCUUCUGAAAUCAGCAUUGUGCCAAAUAUCAACCAACAGGAAAUAGAUAUUGUUUUAUGUUUCAGUUGUAUCCAACAUUUGAAGUCUCAGGUGCUCAGUGUGACUCAGUGUGGUGCGUGCUGCACCAAAUGAAAUGUAUCUAUUGAUAUGAACUUAAAAUCCUUUGUGGUAAAGGGAAUUCAUUUUUAAUAUUUACUUUUGUCCAAAUAAAAAUUAGUGAUCAACUA